CGGACGUAGCCAAGUGGACCAAGGCAGUGGAUUGUGAAUCCACCAUGCGCG
rnacentral:tRNA from 2 species